UUAUUAUGGAGAGUUUGAUCCUGGCUCAGGACGAACGCUGGCGGCGUGCCUAACACAUGCAAGUCGAACGGGGAUUUUGUUUCGGCAGAAUCCUAGUGGCGAACGGGUGAGUAACGCGUAGGCAACCUGCCCUCCGGCCGGGGACAACACUCCGAAAGGGGUGCUAAUACCGGAUACGAAGUCUGUGCCGCAUGGUACGGAUUUGAAAGAUGGCCUCUAUUUAUAAGCUAUCGCCGGGGGAUGGGCCUGCGUCCGAUUAGCUGGUUGGUGGGGUAACGGCCUACCAAGGCGACGAUCGGUAGCCGGUCUGAGAGGAUGAACGGCCACAUUGGGACUGAGACACGGCCCAG
rnacentral:rRNA from 1 species